GACAGAGGGUGCAAACGUUGCUCGGAAUUACUGGGCGUAAAGGGCCAGUAGGCGGCCAACUAAGUCCGACGUGAAAUCCCCAGGCUUAACCUGGGAACUGCGUCGGAUACUGGAUGGCUUGAAUUCGGGAGAGGGAUGCAGAAUUCCAGGUGUAGCGGUGAAAUGCGUAGAUAUCUGGAGGAAUACCGGUGGCGAAGGCGGCAUCCUGGACCGAGAUUGACGCUGAUGCGCGAAAGCCAGGGGAGCAAACGGG
rnacentral:rRNA from 1 species